rnacentral:rRNA from 1 species
ACGGGGAGCACCACAACGGGUGGAGCUUGCGGUUUAAUUGGAUUCAACGCCGGAAAUCUUACCGGGACCGACAGCAAUAUGAAGGCCAGGCUGAAGACUUUGCCGGAUUAGCUGAGAGGUGGUGCAUGGCCGUCGUCAGUUCGUACUGUGAAGCAUCCUGUUAAGUCAGGCAACGAGCGAGACCCACGCCCACAGUUGCCAGCGUACUCUCUGGAGUGACGGGUACACUGGUGGGACCGCCGCUGACUAAGCGGAGGAAGGAAUGGGCAACGGUAGGUCAGUAUCGCCCCGAAUAUCCCGGGCUACACGCGAGCUACAAUGGUUGGUACAAGUGGGUAUCCUACCCGAAGGGACGGGAAUCUCCUAAAACCAAUCUUAGUUCGGAUUGAGGGCUGCAACUCGCCCUCAUGAAGCUGGAAUCCGUAGUAAUCGCGUUUCAACAGAACGCGGUGAAUACGUCCCUGCUCCUU